CCUACGGGAGGCAGCAGUGGGGGAUAUUGCACAAUGGGGGCAACCCUGAUGCAGCGACGCCGCGUGUGGGAAGACGGUUCUCUGGAUUGUAAACCACUGUCCCCAGGGACGAAGAUGAGGGUAUCUGGGAGGAAUCUCCGGCUAACGACGGUCAACCAGCCGCGGUAAUACGUAGGGAGCGGGCGUUGUCCGGAAGUACUGGGUGUAAAGGGAGCGUAGUCGGGACUGCAGGUUGGGUGUCAGAUCUACCGGUCAAACCGUGAGCCGCACUCAAAACUGCCGGUCUUGAGUGAAGUAGAGGCAGGCGGAAUGCCUAGUGUAGCGGUGAAAUGCGUAGAUAUUAGGAGGAACACCAGUGGCGAAGGCGGCCUGCUGGGCUUUUACUGACGCUGAGGCUCGAAAGUGUGGGGAGCAAACAGGAUUAGAUACCCUGGUAGUC
rnacentral:rRNA from 1 species